CAUAGGUUAAUGAGGCGAACCGGGGGAACUGAAACAUCUAAGUACCCCGAGGAAAAGAAAUCAACCGAGAUUCCCCCAGUAGCGGCGAGCGAACGGGGAGCAGCCCAGAGCCUGAAUCAGUGUGUGUGUUAGUGGAAGCGUCUGGAAAGGCGCGCGAUACAGGGUGACAGCCCCGUACACAAAAAUGCACAUACUGUGAGCUCGAUGAGUAGGGCGGGACACGUGGUAUCCUGUCUGAAUAUGGGGGGACCAUCCUCCAAGGCUAAAUACUCCUGACUGACCGAUAGUGAACCAGUACCGUGAGGGAAAGGCGAAAAGAACCCCGGCGAGGGGAGUGAAAAAGAACCUGAAACCGUGUACGUACAAGCAGUGGGAGCACGCUUAGGCGUGUGACUGCGUACCUUUUGUAUAAUGGGUCAGCGACUUAUAUUCUGUAGCAAGGUUAACCGAAUAGGGGAGCCGAAGGGAAACCGAGUCUUAACUGGGCGUUAAGUUGCAGGGUAUAGACCCGAAACCCGGUGAUCUAGCCAUGGGCAGGUUGAAGGUUGGGUAACACUAACUGGAGGACCGAACCGACUAAUGUUGAAAAAUUAGCGGAUGACUUGUGGCUGGGGGUGAAAGGCCAAUCAAACCGGGAGAUAGCUGGUUCUCCCCGAAAGCUAUUUAGGUAGCGCCUCGUGAAUUCAUCUCCGGGGGUAGAGCACUGUUUCGGCAAGGGGGUCAUCCCGACUUACCAACCCGAUGCAAACUGCGAAUACCGGAGAAUGUUAUCACGGGAGACACACGGCGGGUGCUAACGUCCGUCGUGAAGAGGGAAACAACCCAGACCGCCAGCUAAGGUCCCAAAGUCAUGGUUAAGUGGGAAACGAUGUGGGAAGGCCCAGACAGCCAGGAUGUUGGCUUAGAAGCAGCCAUCAUUUAAAGAAAGCGUAAUAGCUCACUGGUCGAGUCGGCCUGCGCGGAAGAUGUAACGGGGCUAAACCAUGCACCGAAGCUGCGGCAGCGACGCUGAUGCGUUGUUGGGUAGGGGAGCGUUCUGUAAGCCUGUGAAGGUGUGCUGUGAGGCAUGCUGGAGG
rnacentral:rRNA from 1 species